CGAACGCUGGCGGCGUGCUUAACACAUGCAAGUCGCACGGAAAGGCCCUGCUUUUGUGGGGUGCUCGAGUGGCGAACGGGUGAGUAACACGUGAGUAACCUGCCCUUGACUUUGGGAUAACUUCAGGAAACUGGGGCUAAUACCGGAUAGGAGCUCCUGCUGCAUGGUGGGGGUUGGAAAGAUUCGGCGGUUGGGGAUGGACUCGCGGCUUAUCAGCUUGUUGGUGGGGUAGUGGCUUACCAAGGCCUUGACGGGUAGCCGGCCUGAGAGGGUGACCGGCCACAUUGGGACUGAGAUACGGCCCAGACUCCUACGGGAGGCAGAAGUGGGGAAUAUUGCACAAUGGGCGGAAGCCUGAUGCAGCAACGCCGCGUGCGGGAUGACGGCCUUCGGGUUGUAAACCGCUUUCGCCUGUGACGAAGCGUGAGUGACGGUAAUGGGUAAAGAAGCACCGGCUAACUACGUG
rnacentral:rRNA from 1 species